UCUGGUAAUGAUGGCGAAGUGGUCACACCCGUUCCCAUACCGAACACGGAAGUUAAGCUCUUCAGCGCCGAUGGUAGUUGGGGGAUCUCCCCCUGUGAGAGUAGGACGUUGCCAGGC
rnacentral:rRNA from 1 species